rnacentral:rRNA from 1 species
AUUGAACGCUGGCGGCAGGCUUAACACAUGCAAGUCGAGCGGGGAAGGGUAGCUUGCUACCUAACCUAGCGGCGGACGGGUGAGUAAUGCUUAGGAAUCUGCCAUUUAGUGGGGGACAACAUUCCGAAAGGAAUGCUAAUACCGCAUACGUCCUACGGGAGAGAGCAGGGGAUCUUCGGACCUUGCGCUAAAUGAUGAGCCUAAGUCGGAUUAGCUAGUUGGUGGGGUAAAGGCCUACCAAGGCGACGAUCUGUAGCGGGUCUGAGAGGAUGAUCCGCCACACUGGGACUGAGACACGGCCCAGACUCCUACGGGAGGCAGCAGUGGGGAAUAUUGGACAAUGGGCGGAAGCCUGAUCCAGCCAUGCCGCGUGUGUGAAGAAGGCCUUAUGGUUGUAAAGCACUUUAAGCGAGGAGGAGGCUACUUAGAUUAAUACUCUAGGAUAGUGAACGUUACUCGCAGAAUAAGCACCGGCUAACUCUGUGCCAGCAGCCGCAGUAA